CUCUGCAAGUCUCAGGCCAGUCUGGUCUACAGAACAAGCUCCAGGACAGCCAGAACUACAUAGAGAGAACAUGUCUCAUCCCCUGCCCUCCAAGGAUCUAGGGAAGGAAAAAUAAGUGACUGCAUCACUGUAAGAUAUUUAUUAAAGACACACGAAAGAAAUCAGUUCAGGAGAACACUCUGAACUGAUGGAAGAGUUUGGAUGACGACUGGACCAAUAAAGAGAAAAGUGAAUGAAGAAAGCAGUUCAAGGCCAAGGUGAAGAGAGGGAGGAUCUGAUGAAAUCUGCAUCAAGGUGUCAGCAUGAGAAAAGACUGAGUGACAAGGGAC